rnacentral:rRNA from 1 species
GACGAACGCUGGCGGCGUGCUUAACACAUGCAAGUCGAACGGAAAGGCCCUGCUUUUGUGGGGUGCUCGAGUGGCGAACGGGUGAGUAACACGUGAGUAACCUGCCCUUGACUUUGGGAUAACUUCAGGAAACUGGGGCUAAUACCGGAUAGGAGCUCCUGCUGCAUGGUGGGGGUUGGAAAGUUUCGGCGGUUGGGGAUGGACUCGCGGCUUAUCAGCUUGUUGGUGGGGUAGUGGCUUACCAAGGCUUUGACGGGUAGCCGGCCUGAGAGGGUGACCGGCCACAUUGGGACUGAGAUACGGCCCAGACUCCUACGGGAGGCAGCAGUGGGGAAUAUUGCACAAUGGGCGGAAGCCUGAUGCAGCAACGCCGCGUGCGGGAUGACGGCCUUCGGGUUGUAAACCGCUUUCGCCUGUGACGAAGCGUGAGUGACGGUAAUGGGUAAAGAAGCACCGGCUAACUACGUGCCAGCAGCCGCGGUGAUACGUAGGGUGCGAGCGUUGUCCGGAUUUAUUGGGCGUAAAGGGCUCGUAGGUGGUUGAUCGCGUCGGAAGUGUAAUCUUGGGGCUUAACCCUGAGCGUGCUUUCGAUACGGGUUGACUUGAGGAAGGUAGGGGAGAAUGGAAUUCCUGGUGGAGCGGUGGAAUGCGCAGAUAUCAGGAGGAACACCAGUGGCGAAGGCGGUUCUCUGGGCCUUUCCUGACGCUGAGGAGCGAAAGCGUGGGGAGCGAACAGGCUUAGAUACCCUGGUAGUCCACGCUGUAAACGGUGGGUACUAGGUGUGGGGUCCAUUCCACGGGUUCCGUGCCGUAGCUAACGCUUUAAGUACCCCGCCUGGGGAGUACGGCCGCAAGGCUAAAACUCAAAGGAAUUGACGGGGCCCCGCACAAGCGGCGGAGCAUGCGGAUUAAUUCGAUGCAACGCGUAGAACCUUACCUGGGUUUGACAUGGAUCGGGAGUGCUCAGAGAUGGGUGUGCCUCUUUUGGGGUCGGUUCACAGGUGGUGCAUGGCUGUCGUCAGCUCGUGUCGUGAGAUGUUGGGUUAAGUCCCGCAACGAGCGCAACCCUUGUUCACUGUUGCCAGCACGUUAUGGUGGGGACUCAGUGGAGACCGCCGGGGUCAACUCGGAGGAAGGUGGGGAUGACGUCAAGUCAUCAUGCCCCUUAUGUCCAGGGCUUCACGCAUGCUACAAUGGCUGGUACAGAGAGUGGCGAGCCUGUGAGGGUGAGCGAAUCUCGGAAAGCCGGUCUCAGUUCGGAUUGGGGUCUGCAACUCGACCUCAUGAAGUCGGAGUCGCUAGUGAUCGCAGAUCAGCAACGCUGCGGUGAAUAAGUUCCCGGGGCU